UACGUAGGGUGCAAGCGUUGCCCGGAAUUAUUGGGCGUAAAGAGCUCGUAGGCGGUCUGUCGCGUCGGCUGUGAAAACCCGAGGCUCAACCUCGGGCCUGCAGUCGAUACGGGCAAACUAGAGUGUUGCAGGGGAGACUGGAAUUCCUGGUGUAGCGGUGAAAUGCGCAGAUAUCAGGAGGAACACCGGUGGCGAAGGCGGGUCUCUGGGCCGAUACUGACGCUGAGGAGCGAAAGCGUGGGGAGCGAACAGG
rnacentral:rRNA from 1 species